rnacentral:rRNA from 1 species
CACGUAGGGCGCAAGCGUUGUCCGGAAUCAUUGGGCGUAAAGAGCUCGUAGGCGGUCUGUUGCGUCUGCUGUGAAAACUCGGGGCUUAACCCCGAGCCUGCAGUGGAUACGGGCAGACUAGAGGUAGGUAGGGGAGAAUGGAAUUCCCGGUGUAGCGGUGAAAUGCGCAGAUAUCGGGAGGAACACCGGUGGCGAAGGCGGUUCUCUGGGCCUUACCUGACGCUGAGGAGCGAAAGCGUGGGGAGCGAACAGG